UACAGAAAGUGCAGACGUUAUCCGUCUUAAUUGGGUGUAAAGGAUAUGUAGGCUGUUCAGGUUGGAUAUUUUGUAAAAGCCCUAAAUAUUUUUUAGGAAUGACGAAAUUUACCCAAGAACUAAGAGUUUUGAAGAAGUUGAAGGAACUUCCUUUGUAAAGGUAGAAUUUCUAAAUAUUGGAAUGACAAUCAAACUUAUUGCGAAAGCAUUUUUCUACUUUAAAACUGACGCUGAGAUAUGAAAGUGUAGGGAUCAAAUAGG
rnacentral:rRNA from 1 species